UAGGUCUUACUUUGCUGUACAUUAUUGCUGUUUACAGUUUAUCUCUAUCUAUAAUAAUAUUCAAGAUAAUAACCAAAAACAGCAAAAUUUCCUUAAAAUUACCAUUUCAGGGGCAGCAACCCAACAACGAAAUGUCCGAUUCAUCUGAAAAUUUCAGGGCAGAUAGAUCUUGACGUGAUGAACAAUUAACCCCUGUUAGAUUUGCUCUAAAUGCUUUGGUUUUUGAGUUAUAAGCCAAAAACUGCAUUUUACCCCUAUGUUCUAAUUUUAGGUGUGGCGGCCAUCUUGGUUAGUUGGCCGGGUCACCGGACACAUUUUUUAAACUAGAAACCCCAAUGAUGAUUGUGGCUAAGUCUGGAUUAAUUUGGCCCAGUAGUUUCAGAGGAGAAGAUUUUUGUAAAAGAUUACUAAGAUUUACGAAAAAUGGUUAAAAAUUGACUAUAAAGAGCAAUAACUCCUAAAUUGGUCAACUGACCAUUUUGGUCAUGUUGACUUUUUUGUAAAAUCUUACUUUGCUGAACAUUAUUGCUGUUUACAGUUUAUCUCUAUCUAUAAUAAUAUUCAAGAUAAUAACCAAAACAGUAAAAUUUCCUUAAAAUUACCAAUUCAGGGGCAGCAACCCAACAACAGGUUGUCCGAUUCAUCUGAAAAUUUCAGGGCAGAUAGAUUUUGACCGGAUGAACAAUUUUUAUUCCAUGUCAGAUUUGCUCUAAAUGCUUUGGUUUUUGAGUUAUAAGCGAAAAACUGCAUUUUACCCCCAUGUUCUAUUUUUAGCCAUGGCGGCCAUUUUGGUUGGUUGACCGGGUCACCAGACACAUUUUUAAAACUAGAUACCCCAAUGAUGAUUGUGGCCAUGUUUGGUUUAAUUUGGCCCAGUAGUUUCAGAGGAGAAGAUUUUUCUAAAAGAUGACUAAGAUUUACGAAAAAUGGUUAAAAAUUGACUAUAAAGGGCAAUAACUCCUAAAGUGGUCAACUGACCAUUUUGAUCAUGUUGACUUAUUUGUAGAUCUUACUUUGCUGAACAUUAUUGCUGUUUACAGUUUAUCUCUAUCUAUAAUAAUAUUAAAGACUAGAGGCUCUAAAGAGC
rnacentral:lncRNA from 1 species